rnacentral:rRNA from 1 species
CCUACGGGCGGCAGCAGUGGGGAAUAUUGCGCAAUGGGCGAAAGCCUGACGCAGCGACGCCGCGUGAGGGAUGAAGGUCUUCGGAUCGUAAACCUCUGUCAGCAGGGAAGAACGGUCACUGUGCUAAUCAGCAGUGAAUUGACGGUACCUGCAAAGGAAGCACCGUCUAACUCCGUGCCAGCAGCCGCGGUAAUACGGAGGGUGCGAGCGUUAAUCGGAAUUACUGGGCGUAAAGCGCUCGUAGGCGGUAUGUCAAGUCAAGGGUGAAAUCCCCGCGCUCAACGUGGGAACUGCCUGUGAAACUGGCAAACUGGAGUGUGUGAGAGGAUAGUGGAAUGCCAGGUGUAGGAGUGAAAUCCGUAGAUAUCUGGAGGAACAUCAGUGGCGAAGGCGACUAUCUGGAACAUAACUGACGCUGAGGAGCGAAAGCGUGGGUAGCAAACAGGAUUAGAUACCCCUGUAGUC